rnacentral:rRNA from 1 species
UGCGCAGGCGGGCUCAUAAGUCGGGGGUUAAAUCCAUGUGCUUAACACAUGCAUGGCUUCCGAUACUGUGAGUCUGGAGUCUCGAAGAGGAAGAUGGAAUUUCCGGUGUAACGGUGGAAUGUGUAGAUAUCGGAAAGAACACCAGUGGCGAAGGCAGUCUUCUGGUCGAGAACUGACGCUCAGGCACGAAGCGUGGGGAGCAAACAG